GCACAAAAAAUCAGCCCUUCUUAAAGUGGUGUCUCAUGAAGAGAUUGGAUAAUUUGGUUCAGGUUCAAACAAGGUAUGAUCUUAUCACGAAUUCAAAUCAAAUUAAUUUUUUUUAAAAUAAAAUUUAAUUUAUAUCUAAGAGACUUAGAAAGGAGGGUGACACAACUUAGAUUGGUGCAAAAAAAAUUAUGCAAAAAUUUAUUUUGCAUGUGAGAAGAAGGCUGGUCGGC
rnacentral:lncRNA from 1 species